CCCUGUACUUGAAAAAAUAGUUAUAUGUAGCAUAGUUAUAUGUAUAGAACAAGACACUCAUGCUUUUGUGCUGUCGGCCAUGGUCUGACCUCCUAUAUUUUAACAUUUUCUAUAGUGUAUUCUCUGCGACGAUUGCAUACAGGUAGUUGUUGUAAAUAACAAUUUACAAUAGAUUGCAAAACUUCUGUACAAAACCACACCACUUUAUGGUGCAUUGAUUGUUUCUACUAUCCUUCGUGAUCUAGCACUGAAAAUGUGAUUUUUAAUUGGCAGUUCUGCUUCAUAUGGCUGUUUAGUUUGCAGAAAGAACAUGCACAUCCCGGGAGCGCUCCAGGAUAGUCAAUCCUACCACUAGACCUCAUAGCAGUGUGUGUUCUGCACAAAGAACAAGAUUGGGUUGAUAGCUGAAAAAUAUGGGGAAAAAGUCAAGUAAGGCGGUUUAAGCUAGCAUGACAUGGAUGGCUGAAAGCACAAGUGUUAGCUGUUUGGGUAGUCUCCAUGCCUAUUUCUUCGCGUGGCAUGUUAUUUACCUUCGGUGUUGAUCUAUCCAAUUUGUAUGUAAAACUCUACCCAUUAUUUUAGUGGUGAUUUUUUUAAUACAUAUCUUAUAUUUGAUAGAACUUGCCAAUUUUGAAAAAUAAAUUAGAGCAUUUAUCUUUCUUAACGCACAAAUAUGUAUGGGUUGUAAGAAGUUUAACUGAUGUUCCUUCUUUCAGCAGUAAGAGAACAUUUUGCUUCAGUUAGUGAACAAUUUCCCAAUUGGGUGGCAAUUUUUUUACUUUCAGUUUCUCGGAGCGCAAGGAAUCAUCUUAGAUGUGACACUCCUCUCAGUGCCACACCUGGUUUUCUAAUAUGUACUACUUUUUCUUUUGCUUCCAGUCCUCUUAUUGAGGACAACUAUUCUUUAAAUAACUUCAUAUGACAUGUGGCUUCUAAACACAACUUUCCCCCCCAAAAUCAGAUAUUGUUGUAAACAUUCAUGGAUCUGGUUUACUAAGUAUUGAACUCUCAUAUAAUAGAAUUGCAACACUUUUAGUAUGUUCUUGAUUUUGUGGUUGCUUGCUUUAUUGAAAUAACAUUUGUAAACAUUAUUUUUUCUAAAAUCAUAUACAGUACAAUUUUAUUUAUGAUGCAGCGGGGCAAAAUAUGUGUGUGCAGACUUGAGCAUAUAGUUUGAGAUAAAAUAUGUUGAAUCCAAGGAAUAAUGCAUACUUUGAUCCAGUAGUGCCACCAACAUCGUCUACGGUGACAAUAUACCACGCCAAAACACACACAGAAAAAUUUGCGUUUGCUAUUGAAAUACUUAUUCCUUUUCCCACAUUUAGUUCAAAAGUUGAAAGAAGUCAGGAUGGCACGUGCAAUUUAGUGUUGUUGAAUUUUCUUGCACAUUAGACCAGAAAUAAAGGUGGAAUGAUGUAGGUAAGAACUAAAUGUCCUAUUAUAAAAGUGUCAACGUGUACUUCCUGUUUGCCUAAGAUGCACCACAUGGUGACAAUGAAUGUACUUUUUGACAAUACAACCUUAUCAACACAGUUCUAUUACUUUGAUUGAAUGGACCAAAGUUCUAUUUAUUGCAUACAAGAAAAAAACCACUUAUUAACAUCAUUUAUCGACGGGGCGCGGCGUGUCGCGGCGCGGGUAAAGCUAGUAUAUGACUAGAGGCUUGAAUCCCGUGAUCCAUGGAAGGCAGCGAUUUCAUAAGCAUAAGAGUUGGCUAUCACAACUGAAUUUAUAGGCCUUCUUUUCAUGGCCUAAAUUUCGUUUUCCUUUCACGGAGGCCUAAAUUUUGGUUAAAUCAAACCAGCGUUCACUUUAGGGCAAAAGAAUAAUUAUUUGCUAUUUCAGGUCACUAUUCAUACUAUUUUGGCUGAAAAUUUGUUUGUUCGAAAAGCAGUCAAAGGGUUCUUUUCUUUUUGUGGAUUUUUUCACAAGUGCAAUGAAAGGUCAAGUUUAUUUUGAAAACAUUUCAAUUUUUUUUCAUCUAAGAUGUACGUAUAUACACCCGUAGAUCAAAAAUCCCCUCGCAAGGUAGUGGUAGAGUCACUUCAGUCGGUGAAGCCGCAGACAAGCGGACCCGGACCCGAACAAUAGGCCGAGAAGCUGCUGGAGGCUGGAGCCUCUGUUUUAACUUUCGACCCUAUCAGGCUGGCAUCUCUCCCCACGAGCAGCCGCCCCCAGGUCUAGGGUUCCCCCUUUCUUCUUCUCCACGCGAAUCAGGUAGGUGGCGGUCUUGAUCCCUCGUCCUCCCCCACAAUCCCCGGCACGCACGCGCGCACGAACUUAUCCGGAUCUCUCUGCUAACCCUCUGAUCUACUCGGCCGCGUCGCAGCUAGAUACUAGAACCAGCAUCGAUGGCGGCGGCAGCACCGGCGGACGCGAAGGCGGAAGCCGCCAAGAUGGAUCUCCUCGAGGACGACGACGAGUUCGAGGAGUUCGAGAUCGACCAAGGUAUGUGCAAGCACACCCCGCUCCCCCCUCUCGCCGCAGCACUGUUGCUGUAUCUAGGCAAACACGGUCAGUUCAACAUAGCUUGUUGGCGUCGUGAUGUCGAUUUGGUCGAUUAGGUUUGGGUUGAUCCGGACAAGGUAUGUGCGAUGGAUAUGUCGGUCAUCUCAAGCUUACUUUCAAGAUCGGUUUUAGGAGAUUCGCCUAAAAUUAUGGGCAAAUUGGUUGCAACUGGAUUGUUUCCGAUGCGGAUUUUACCAAGCGUGAGACCUCAGGCAGUAUAACGUGUGCUUUCAGUAGCCACCUGAUGUCAUUUAUAAUCUUCAUUCACUACUGCUUCCUGAAUAAUUAGCUUGGUGGAAUAGGUUAUUUUUGAUAUUGUUUGUACAUGUUUAUCAGUAGUUGUUACUACUUUUCUCUUAGUUAAGCGUAGAACAGAUGGUCUGAUUUGGGUGUAUUUAUCUUCAUGAUUAUUUCUUCUAGAUUAAAUAUCAGGCACACACAACUAGGUGUUGCACAUCUUCUCCCUUGGGAACAUUGAUCUUCAAUCCCUGUUUCUCCAGUGUUGACAUGACUGCCUAAAACUGCACAAUUGGAAUGAUCAGUCCAUGUAGAUUGGAAGGGUAAUACUCCCUCCCUCUCAAAAUAAGUGACUCAACAUUGUACUAGCUCUAGUACAAAGUUAGUACAAAAUCGAGUCACUUAUUUUGGGACGGAGGGAGUAGAAUAUAAACCCAUUGUUGUUUGAUUGUUUCAUCAAUUAGCAUAUCGGUAUGUGCUGUAUUGAGUGUUCGAGAGGCUAAGUGUUGGUCUGAUAAGUUACCUUGCCAUGUCAAUGUCCAGAAAUAGCAUUUGCAGACAUGCUAUCCAUGUAGAUGGACAAUGCGAAACUACAUGAUACCAUGAAAUGUGUCAACAUACAUAUCUGCAAACUGUAUGAUCUAUCUAAACCUUUGUCCUUUUUCUCCUUUGCUGUCCGUGGUCAUUCUUGCGCUGGUGCACAACUUGUUUGUGCCUGGCCCUAUGCUGGCCUCAUAGGGUCUAGAAGCAUGUAUAAGGCACAAAUAACAGUUCAAUGGCAAUUUUCUUUUUUAAAUGGGAAGAAGACGUUUGGAGGAGAUAGUGCUUUAAGGUUUUCUUGGAUCCUAACAAGAGGAAGUCUUCUAGUCGGAUAGUACUCUUUCUACUUUACGUCAAUUUUCAAACUUGAUUUGAAUCCAGAGGGUUAGAUACAGGGUGAUAACUGCUUUGUCAUUGUAAUGAGAUUUAGGUUUGGUUAUAUAUCAAAACCUAUUUUGUAAGUUGUGGCUAUACCUGAUUCUUUGAUGAAGUUAAAGGUUUCUAGUUCUACAAGUAGACGAUAAGUCCAUGAUUGCCAAUUGGUGGGGGCUAGCUGCCGGCUCGAUCUGACUGGCAGUUGACUAGUAAUUCCAAGUAGCCUAAUUUGGUGGUCUCUGGCCCACUAUCAUGAGUUCGGGAAGUGGGGGAGUAAGUUGGUCUCCUGAGUCAAGUUAAAGUUGGAUUUUUAGUGCAGCAGAUUAAAUCGUAGAAAGAAGAGCGCGUGAGAGGUGGAAAACGUUAGUCCUGUCUCCCGGAGAUUUAUGUCAGCUAUCUAUUUUUGUGCUACUAUAGAAGUACGCUUUAGUGCCCACUAAAAGUCGCAUGAAACAUGCAUUAUAAACUUAAACCUGCUGCCUGCCUACUGAAAUCCCCCGAGACUAGUAGGCCUGGCCACUGGUGGCAACUAACCGACUUAUUGAAAACAAUGUCCUUCAUGUGUAUAGAUGAAUUCUUAAUUCUUAUGUGUGACCUAUGACUGCUGCAUGUCAAGUACGUUUGUCCUGCAGCAAGUAAAAUCAUAUUACAGUGGGUUAUAUCAUGAGCUAUAUGAUUAGGGUCUUCUUCGUUUCUUUUCUUGCUUUUGCUGAAUGUAUACACUUAUAUUGCAUUAUUAUGGUGUUCAGUAACUGAACUGGUAAAUUUUGCAAGGAUACAGUAUGAUACUUUGUGUUGCUAAUUCUGCUUUCCAUUUGCAUAGCUUUUAUCGGUAGUUAUGAUAGCUACUUUCUGAAGCUUCGCCCCUCAGUUCAGUUUGCUUGCGAUAUGACUACUGUGUGAGUGUAUGUUCCGCUUCCUGGUCGCAGAUGGUCUUGCGUGUAGCAUUUCUUUUUACUCUGGUCUGUGGAGACAUAUACUUUUGUCGUCAUAAUCUCUUGAAGUACUUUUGUAUGUAACAUGAUUGUGCUGAAUCUUGUAUGGUGAUGAAAUUGUGCGUCUCGUUAACCCCAUUUUCUUGUAUUUUACAGAAUGGGAUGACAAGGAAGAUGGCAACGAAGCUGUCCAGCAAUGGGAGGAUGACUGGGAUGACGACGACGUGAAUGACGAUUUCUCACUGCAGCUGAGGAAAGAGCUGGAGGGAGGCAACACUCAGAAGAGCUGAACUACUUCCCCAUCCAUAUCAAAGCUGUAGUACACUUUAUCUUCGAUCAGGCACUGUGUGGCCACUGCUCUCUGAACCUGCGAUACUUCCCUAGCAAUAUCAAGCUGUGAUACUUAUCUUCGUUUCAGUACUGUGUAUCAGACUUUGUACCGUACUGCAUGUAGUUAUCGGCUGCGAGCAGCACAACUUGUGGAACAGUGAUAGUUACCAGACAGUAUCGCAAUUACCCGGAAGUUUGUCGACAUGCAGGAAUUCCCGUAUGGUCUGGUCCCGGCACUGCGGUAGCCGUCUAUUGAACCAGGGCAUCCUUAAUCUUCUAUCCAAUGCGGUCCAUUGCUUUAUAUCCUUCUUCAAACUUCUCACCGGAAGAGAAUGAUAAUGUAAGAGCAACUUCAGGUCUUAAGCAAAGUCGCCAAAGGCAUUUGAACUCUAUAAUAACCGCCAAUAUUGAAGUACGAUGCUAAAAAGACCUUUUGAACUCUGUACAGUUGUCAUCCACCCCUUUGCCGCCAUAAUUUUUGGAGCGUUGUUCAUCUCUUAGCACACAUUUUUGGAGCUCGCUCUAAAUUUAGUUCGAAUAGCUACUUGGAUUCCCAUGGCAACCCGUUGGGUAGCCGCCAUACAUCAUCAUCUUCUUGUUAUAAAAGGCCGACACCCUCUCUGACUAGUGCCAUUUCCCUCUCUCCCGCCUUCAAUCCACCAAUGCUUCCUUACCGAUGACGCGCCCAAAAGAGCUCCCCUUCAUAUUUUAUUUUGGGGAUGAGGUGGAGAAGAAGCGAGAUCCCCUUGUUGAACAUUGGGCGGACUUCGACGUGGCCAAAGAGGCGUGGCGCCAAGAGAAGGUGGAAGGGGAGAGGCGGAUUUGAGACAGCGCGCUUGCACACACUGCCGUCAACGCUGAUGACUUGCCGGUCCGUUUAAGUCAAAACGGACAAAGUUCACGGCCCAACGCGCGAGAGCAACCGCAAAUUAUGUUCAACUCGACUCAAAUCCAGCGCAAUUUUGGGCCGGAUUUGCGUCCAGAUGGACACUGGACGGACGCGCAUGCGUCCUCUCGUCGUCUGCCAUCGGACCCGCACGUCGACCGUGCAACUGCUUCCACCGGCCCAUUUAAUCCGCACGGGUGGUCGGACCAGCACGUCGGCCUCCCAGCCGCCCUCUAACCCGUCUUUUUUUAAUUGCUGAAGUUGUGGACCGGCCAGUCCACUUCCAGCCGCAUCCACACACUGCCACUGCCCCGUCACGCUCCGACAACCGCAAACCUAGCGCAACCCCCCGCUCCUCAUUCCUCGCUCCCCGCAGGCCGUCGGCAUGGGGAUGUGGAAGUGGAUCCCCGACAAGGAAAGGAAGCACGACCAUGAAGCGAGGUCCUCCUUUGUGUCCUCAGGGAGCACCACCCGCCUACUCCACCUCGCCGCCCUCAUUCAUUUCCCCGCUGACGACCCCGUCGCACAUGCGGCCCUACAUCAAGGGCGACUUUGCCAGUGCUACUGGGACCACAACCACGCAGCGACAUGAUACGUCUUUGAUAUAUCCAUUUUGCAUCAUGUUUUUAUGUUGAUAUUUAUUGCAUUAUGGAUUGUAAUUUCACUUUAUAAUAAAAUUCUUAUGCCUUUUCUCUCUUACUUUGCAAGUUUCACAUGAAAAGGAAGAUUGCCGGCAGCUGGAAUUCUGGACCAGAAAGGGCUAUAUCGGAGGCACUUUUUCUAAACAACUCCAAAUGAGCUGAAAAUUGACGGAGAAUUAUUUUGUAGUAUAUUAAAAUUAUUGGCGAAAGAAAUACCAGAGGGGGCCCACCAGGCAGCCACAAGCUUAGUGGGUAGGGAGCACCACCUAAGCUUGUGGCGCCCCUGGUAGGCCUCCGGGGCCCAUCUUCUCCUAUAUGGUGCCAUUUGACCUAGGAAAAAAAUAAGAAUAAAGGUUUCGGGACGAAGCGUUGCCGUCUCAAGGCGGAACCUGGGCAGGAGCACUUUUGCUCUCCGGUGGAGAGAUUCUGCGGAAAAACUUCCCUCUGCGAGGGGGAAAUCGAAACCAUCAUCAUCACCAACGAUCCUCUUAUCGUGGGAGGACCAAUCUUCAUCAACAUCUUCAUUGGCACCAUCUCAUCUCAAGCCCUAGUUCAUCUCUUGUAUUCAACAUUUGUCUCAAAAUCUCAGAUUGUACCUGUGGGUUGCUAGUAGUGUUGAUUACAUCUCGUAGUUGAUGCUAGUUGGUUUAUUUGGUGGAAGAUUAUAUGUUCAGAUCCUUGAUGCUAUUCAAUACCCCUCUGAUCUUGAGCAUGGUAUUCGUUCGAUAUUUUGAUGAUAUGUAUGUUGUUGCUUCCUUUAGUGGUGUCAUGUGAAUGUCGACUACAUGACACUUCACCAUCUUUGGGCCUAAGGAAAGGAAUUGUGGAGUAGUUAUUAGAUAAUGGGUUGCUAGAGUGACAAAAGCUUAAAUCCUAUUUUAUGCGCUAUUCCGUAAGGGGCUGAUUUGGAUUCAUAUGUUUCAUGCUAUGUGUCGUGGAAUUGUCACGUCAGAUGUCCUAGUGCAAGGACUUAGUCGUGGAGCCAUCGCAACUAGGAAGCUUGAAGGGGUUAAUCAGGACAAGAGACACGAGAGGUUUAUACUAUUUCGGCCCCUUACGAUGAAGGUAAAAGCCUACGUCUAGUUGUGAUUGGGAUUAUGUAUGUCUCGAUGACCAGGAAGCAGAAUCGCUUGACCUAGCUCUCGAGUUGUUGUUUUGUACCCUAAACCGCCGCCGGGUCGUCCCUUUAUAUACUGAGGUUGACACCCAGCGGCUCUACAGAGUCCCGUCCGGCUUAUAGAUUGUAUCCGGCUCGGUCUCUUAAUCUUUCUUGCCUUACAGCACAAGUUACAUGAACAAGGCGGUUUAACACUACGGGCCUUAAGUCUCCUCUGGGCCUUUGGGCCUUUACUAAGCCGCCAUCUUCAACCUUGAGCUUCUGUCUUCAGGAAUGCUUGUAGGUAUAACCCGGCUCCUUAUGGCGGGUCAUACCUAGUAGUUAUAUCCCCAACAUUAGGCCCCAGGCUGAUUUGAACUAGUUCAUGUCAGUCUUUCAUACUUAAGAAAAAGUUCUCUGCUUCUUGCUUAAGAAGGUUCAUGUAACCCGCCAUGACGUCAUCCUUCGAAUUUGUGGUAACCCGCCAUGACGUCACCUGUCAUAAACGUUUUGUCCAAUACAUCUCAACAGAUCUCUGUCUUAAUGACCAUCCGAAAAUCGAGGCGCCGUUGUAGCUAGAUAACUAUGUUUUUUCGGUCUCCUUGUUUUUCGCGCGCACUUAACAGGUUUUUCCUUAUAAAUAGACCUGACUAGGUCUCUUCUCAUUCUCUGUUUCGCAUCUUCUUCCUCUCGCCCCCAUCUGCCGCUGGAGCUCCGCCGCCGUCGCCACUGCGCCCUUUGUCCUCGUCGAGCUUGGCCGCUGCAUCGACCUGAUCUUGACCAGAGAACGGCAGCGCUCCUCCUCCGCAGAUCCUCCGCAGUAAGUUCUUCCCCUUUCCGCGUCAUAGAUCUGCAUUAGGGCUAGUGCGUUCCUCUGUACGGGCACAGUUCAUCUGAGCUUUGCAUUUAUCUUGCCAUGGCUUCGUCAGAUCCAAGAGACCCCAUAAAUCUGAUGCGGUUCAUAUUUCACAUCCAUUUUGAUUAGCUACAAUCCUCCUUUGCUUGUAAGAAAACCUCAUCACAACACAUGAACUUCUCUGCGCUCUGUUUUUAGGUCUAGUAACUUUUCUUUUCUGAACCUUUGUUUGAUCCAAAAUAAUUACUGCAAACUGUGAAACUUGUUUGUCCUACACUUAGGAAAAAUCCAUAACUCGUUAGAUUUGCUAGUCAUGGCAGCUCUGACUGCCGGCUUAAGAAAGUAAUAAUCUGAACAUCCCCUGUUAGUUGAAAUAACACUGAUGGCUUUAAAACACUUAUGGCGGCUUACGUAACCCGGAUGUAACUAUCCUUAUAUCAUUAGGCCCCUUGAUAAGUCGCCAUAGUUCAUUCUACCAAUAUUUUUCCUGCCCGGCUUAAAUUUGAACCGGCCUUGUUUACCUCGUAUUUGGGCUUUCAAACAUAAUGGCGCCCAAGGCACCUACCACUUGCAACUGGGUGAAAUCCAUUGUCACCGACAGCACUUUAGAUGACUUCGUCAAGACUGGUUAUCUGCCAAAGAAAGAAGUCAUGCUUUACCGUGCUCCUCACCCGGAUGAAGAAAUCCCUCAACCCAAAGACGGAGAGGUGGUUGUUUUUACUGAUCAUAUGAACCGAGGUUUUACUCCUCCCGGUUCAAAAAAUUUCAGAGAUGUACUGAAGUUUUUUGAUCUUCGCCCACAAGACAUUGGACCCAAUUCCGUGUCUAACAUCUGCAACUUCCAAGUGUUCAGCGAAGUUUAUCUUGGUGAAGAACCAAACUUGCUACUUUUCAGAGAGCUGUUCUAUUUGAACCGCCAGACAGAGUGUGCCAGCGGUCAGAGCUUGGAACUUGGUGGGAUUUCAAUUCAGCGCCACAGGGAUGCACUUUUCCCCUAUGCCAACCCGCCAAGCCAUCCAAAAGAUUGGAACAUGACGUGGUUCUACUGCAAAGACACCUCCCCGGCUGACGAGAAUCCUCUACCCGACUUUCGUGCCCUCCGUCUUGACACCAAUCAUCACUUGCCCGACAAGAUUACCGCUGCAGAACGCAAAUCCCUCUCUCCUACUAUAGCCAGGAUCAAAGCUCUGUAGGGGAACGGGUUGACGGGCAUUGACCUGGUUCGAGUCUGGCUUGCCUGGCGGGUUAUCCCAUUAAGCCACCGCACUGUCUUAAUGUGUGAAUACUCUGGCGCCAAAAAUGACCCCUUGCGCCAUAGCCCUGACGACUUACCUGCUCAUGUUGUUGAUGACAUGACCAAAUCUCUUCUCAACGAGAGUCUGGCGGAUUGUGGCAGAGUGGGUCUAGCCCCGUUCUGCAAAGAUAACCCGGCUCCAAAGGUAAACAUCCGUAUAAAUGUUUAUCUUAUUCUCUUAACUCUUCGCCCAUAUUCAUAAUGUACUCAAUCCUUGCAGGCGGGUGAUAAAUUUUGGAAAGUUAAAUAUGAUCAUGAAGCGGCCAAGAAAGCCAGGAAAGAAAAGAGAGCUGCCAGGAAAGAAGCUGCCAAAAGAAAAGGCAAAAGAGCUACUGCUUCUAACUUGCUUCAGCUGGCAGACUCUUCUGAGUCAGAGGUAGACCUUGACUCCCUUGGUUUAUAUUUUAAUCAUCUUAUUGACACUGAUCAUCAGCAGGAGGACACUGGAACAAGCCGCAGCAAGGCUGACGAGGUAACUAUCCUUUCCUCCGACUCUGAGCCUUUGCCAAGAUAGGAAAUCCGCAGAGUGACCCGGAAAGUAAGAUUUUCUCAUCCUCUAGCUCAUCACGAUCCUCAAUUUCUUUUGAAGCGGCAAAUUCAUGAGAGCCGGAGGCAGACCCAGACCAGCAAGGAUGCAGAGCUCUCCUCCGGCUUACCAAAUAUUCCAAAGAAACCCCGAAACGAGGUUACCUCUAUUUUAACUAAGUUUUAUCCCUUAGCGGGUCUCUUUCGUCAACCACUCAAUCCCUCUGACUCGGAUUAUCAGGAUACCUCCCCUUCCUCCGGCGAGUCAUUGCAGUCCAAUCUGCUGACUUUUAAGACCAUUCCAGGGUAUAAUAAGCCACUCACCUUUUGAGCUAUUGUAAUCUUCUUACUUCUGUAUUAAUCCUUUUAUUUGAAUGCAGUGUUCAAGCUAAACCCAGCAAGAGGGCUAGAAAAAAUAAACCGGCUGAUGAAAGAGUCACCACUGAUGAGCCGGCUCUGGAAACAACCGUGCCGGAGUUAAGUACGCAUGAGCCGCCACUUGAACCAGCACAAGAUGUAUCGCCUCCUAGUGACCUGCCCACUGACCAAGGCGCUGUUGACUCAGAGAAUCCCAAACCUCCGAGUCCAACCCGAACAGCUGAUCCUUCCAAUACUGAUGUCGAGAUCACCGGAACUGGUCAUACUGACCCGGGGAGGCCAACCGUGCUGGCCAAAUGCCCCGCCAAGGAAGAACUUCUGGACCAGCGCCGAGUCAAGAUGGAUGUCACCAAUUAUACUCAUAUGAGUAUUGGAGAUGUCUUCUCUGGCUAUAUGAGCCAAGUGCACAACAACCGGAAUCUUGAAAUUGAUAUGGUGAAGCAGAUGCACCAUAAAUUCGAGGUAUAACCCGUUUUGUCUUUUGUUCAUUAUCCUUCAGUAUGUUAGCCCCCAAGUCUGCUACUUAAGAUGCUUAUGUUGUAGACUUAGAAAUAAAUUUAACAACAUGAAGAAAAAAUAGACUUCCGGCUUACCAUGUAGUCCCCAAGGGCGGUUUAACCUAUAUGGUUGAGCCGGCUCUUUAUAGAGAAAUUCUUAUAGGUCUUUAAACAACAAUAUGCAUUAGCCCCCAAGUGACAAGUGUUAUUGUUUACAAAAUGCUUGGGACUUACUCAUAUGAAUCACCAUAUAAUGAAUCGUCGUAGAACAGAAAAACUCUGCAAGACAUUAGCCCCCAAGUGCCAAGUAUUAUUGCUGGCAAAGUGCUUGGGACUUUGAAUACUGCAUAAAGAACUUACUUGAUUUUAUAUUUGCACAGGAUACCAUGAGUCAACUCGAAUCGGAGGUGACCAAUUUGAAGAGCCGCCUUGAAUUCCAAGAGUCAUAACUUGAGAAGGCCAACAGUAAAUUCGAGUUUAGUGUUUCUGAACAGGAUAAACUUAAGAAAGACUUUGAAACUGAAAAGAAAGCCUGGGCGGAUGAGAAGACCGCAUUGAUAAGCCGAGCUGAAAAAGCAGAAACGGCUCUUGAAGAAGUCACUGGAGAAUUGUCCGGGUUAAAGCGCCAUAUUUCCCAAAUGGUCGCAGCCAUCUUCGGUAAGUCGCCAUGCCAUUGUGUUCAUAUCUUUAAACCGUGUAAUAGAGUAUGUGCCAGAAAUUAACCUUUCUGAGUAUGCUUUGUAUAGGCCCCAGAAGCGCAAAAUUAAACCAUAACAUGCUGAUGAAGCUGAAAGCUGUGUAUACCUUGGUGGAACAAUUAUACACCGGGACACAACGUACCCUUGCUUCGGUGGCCUUAUCCAAUGAGAUGCCAACCGGCCUAGUACGGGUUUUAAGUAAGCUGUCAGUCCUUCCGCAACAGAUCAAUGAGUUGAGACGGUCAGCUGCAAGAGCCGGAGCGGUAAAUGCUCUAAGCCGGGCUAAGGCCUGGCUACCUGAACUAGACCCGGAGGAUAUCGCCAUUGGUUAUCCAAGUCUCAUGGAAGAUGGCACGCCGUUUGAAGAGGCGGAUUUCCUUGCCUGUGUUAAAGAGGUACGCCCCAUGGCGACUCUGAUAGCCGCGGAAGUAGAUUAUACCAAGUACCAGGCGGGUUAUGAUGAACAAAAUCGAAGGAUUCCGACACCUGAAUAUGACGUGACCAGUCUGAUUCCCCCAAUUCGUAAGCAUACCUUUGCUCCUGAAGUUGACCCGGCCGGUCUUGUUGAUGAUGAAGCAGAAUUUGAAGCCUUAAACAACAUUGACUGGUCAUCAUCAACCUUCCAGGAAAAGGAGCAGAGCACAAGCGCGGAGAGGGCUAACCCGGACGCUUCCAGCCAAUCCUGAAGGUGAAGCUGUCAUGGCGACUCAACACCUGGUGUUUAAAAAACAAUGCAAACUAUUUGGACUUAAUAAGUCCUGUAAUACGGUAGAGAUAAGUCUGUUGUGGCCAUGCCAUCGUGCAUGUUUUUGACGCGUAACAUUUUUAAGCCGCCUUGUUAUAUUCGUGCACACAGUUUAAUCCUUGUUGAAAAAAUUGUCCUUCAAAUAAGCUGCUAGGCAGGUCAAAAAUGUGAUCAAAAUAAACAUAGAUUAGCUGGUUGAUAAAAACACAACUAUAAUAAUAUUUUCCACUGGCUCCACCAGAUCAUAUGACUUGGCCGGUAAUGAUGAAGAUCCAAUAUUUGUAUACCCGGAAAGUACAUCUAUGCUUAAGGGUUGACGACUCAUCAGUCGAUAUUGAACCGGGAUGCAAGCAUUAUAUUUAUAGUGGUAAGCCUUAGGAAAAAAUCUUAAGCCAAAUAAUGGAGCUUCCAAAGAGAACUUAAACCAAAAAGAUAAGUAAUAAUGGCAAGGCCGCUGAUUCGAAUACGACCAGUGAAUCGUUCCAGAGGGGUUUAAGCUAGGAUUCGAAUACGAUCAUGUAGCCCCCAAUGGCUUUGGCUUUGCGCCGAUCAAGAGGGUACCGACAACUGUGUUCUCUUUGGUUCGAAUACGACCUAUGUUUGAACAGGAAGCCCCCUAAUGACCUUGAGAGUUUUUUAACGACUCUGAUUCGAAUACGAUCAAAGUCGGUUCCCAAAUGGGGUUAAGCUAUGAUUCGAAUACAAUCAAGAAGCCCCCAAGUGAGCUCGGCAGUGUGCCAAUCAAAAGGGUAUCGACAACUAUGUUCUCUUUGGUUCGAAUACGACCUAUGUUUGAACAGGAAGCCCCCUAGUGACCAUAAUUUGAACAGCUAGAUUUGAAUAUGAUCGUAAGCCGGAUCAGAACGGGCUGAGCUGGGUCAAAUAUGACCCGCCCCCGAGCGAUCAUGUGAGAAAAUGAUGAUAAUUAUAAGGACAAAUUUACCUUGUGAGAAGGGAAAAAAGGACAGAGGUCCUGCUUUAUUAUUCAUCAUAAUAUAUAAAUUGGCAAAAUAUAUACAUCAGUGGAGCCUAUGGCUCAAGUGUAGUAGGGCCAGAGAUGAGCAAUAUUACACGGCCUCCGGGUCUCUUCCUCCGACUUACGUGAGCUUGUGCUCUCGAACGUCAAUAAGAUAAUAUGACCCGUUGUUCAAGUUCUUACUGACCACAAAUGGCCCUUCCCAAGGUGGGGAUAACUUGUGAGCAUCAGUUUGAUCCUGGAUGAGCCGGAGCACUAAAUAACCUUCCUGAAAAGAUCUGGACUUAACUCGGCGGCUGUGGUAACGGCGCAAGUCCUGUUGAUAAAUCACCGAGCGAGCUGCUGCCAAGUCCCGAUGUUCAUCUAACAGAUCAAGAGCAUCUUGGCGUGCUUGUUCAUUGUCUUCCUCCACAUAAGCCGCCACACGAGGUGAAUCAUGAUGGAUGUCACUAGGGAGAACCGCCUCAGCUCCGUAGACCAUGAAGAAAGGCGUAUAACCCGUUGAUCUGUUAGGAGUAGUGUUGAUGCUCCAUAACACAGAAGGUAACUCCUCAACCCAAUAACCCAGCGUCCGUUGCAAGGGGACAAAAAGCCGGGGUUUGAUGCCUUUCAGGAUCUCUUGAUUGGCUCGCUCAGCUUGACCAUUGGAUUGAGGGUGAGCCACUAAUGAAACAUCAAGCCGGAUAUGCUCACGUUGACAAAAUUCCUCCAUGGGGCCUUUAGACAGAUUAGUUCCAUUGUCAGUUAUAAUGUUGUGUGGAAAAUCAAAACGAAAUAUCACCUGCUUCAUGAAUUGAACCGCCGUGGCUGCAUCUGUUGGAAAUAUGCCCUAGAGGCAAUAAUAAAAGUAUUAUUAUAUUUCAUUGUUCAUGAUAAUUGUCUUUUGUUCAUGCUAUAACUGUAUUAUCCGGAAAUCGUAAUACACGUGUGAACACAUAGACCACAAUAUGUCCCUAGUGAGCCUCUAGUUGACUAGCUCGUUGUGAUCAACGGAUAGUCAUGGUUUCCUGACUAUGGACAUUGGAUGUCGCUGAUAACGGGAUCACAUCAUUAGGAGAAUGAUGUGAUGGACAAGACCCAAUCCUAAGCAUAGCAUAAAGAUCGUGUAGUUCGUUUGCUAGGGCUUUGCCAAUGUCAAGUAUCUCUUCCUUCGACCAUGAGAUCGUGUAACUCCCGGAUACCGUAGGAGUGCCUUGGGUGUAUCAAACGUCACAAUGUAACUGGGUGACUAUAAAGGUGCAUUACAGGUAUCUCCGAAAGUAUCUGUUGGGUUGACACGGAUCGAGACUGGGAUUUGUCACUCCGUAUGACGGAGAGGUAUCUCUGGGCCCACUCGGUAAUGCAUCAUCAUAAUGAGCUCAAGGUGACCAAGGUGUUGGCCACGGGAUCAUGCAUUACGGCACGAGUAAAGUGACUUGCCGGUAACGAGACUGAACAAGGUAUUGGGAUACCGACGAUCGAGUCUCGGGCAAGUAACGUACCGAUUGACAAAGGGAAUUGUAUACAGGGUUUUGAUCGAAUCCUCGACAUCGUGGUUCAACCGAUGAAAUCAUCGAGGAGCAUGUGGGAGACAACAUGGGUAUCCAGAUCCCGCUGUUGGUUAUUGACCGGAGAGUGGUCCCGGUCAUGUCUGCAUGUCUCCCGAACCCGUAGGGUCUACACACUUAAGGUUCAGUGACGCUAGGGUUGUUAGGAAGACUAGUAUGUGACUACCGAAUGUUGUUCGGAGUCCCGGAUGAGAUCCCGGACGUCACGAGGAGUUCCGGAAUGGUCCGGAGGUGAAGUUUUAUAUAUGGGAAGUUGUCAUACGGACACCGGAAAGUUUCCGGGGGUUAUCGGUAUUGUACCGGAGCCAUCGGAGGGGUUCCGGGGGUCCACCGGAGGGGCCACCCCCCCGGAGGGCCACAUGGGCCGCAAAGGGGAGGGAGCCAGCCCCUGGAGGGCUGGGCGCGCCCCCCACCUUGGGCCCAUGCGCCUAGGGUUGGGGGGGGGAAACCCUGAGGGGGGCGCCCCCCUUGCUUGGGGGGCAAGCCUCCCCUCCCUGGCCGCCGCCACCCCUCUAGAUCGUCGCCCCCCCUCGCCCCUUCCCCUAUAAAUAGAGGGGUGGGGGAGGGCUGCUGAACACAUCCAAAGGCGCAGCCCCUCCCCUCCCCAACACCUCUCCUCCUCCGUUAAGUGCUUGGCGAAGCCCUGUCGGAGUACUGCUGCACCAACACCACCACGCCGUCGUGCUGCCGUUGGAGCGAGCUUCCUCAACCUCUCCUUCCCCCUUGAUGGAUCAAGGAGGAGACGUCUCCCGUCCCGUACGUGUGUUGAACGCGGAGGUGCUGUCCGUUCAGCACUUGGACAUCGGUGAUCUGAAUCACGUCGAGUAUGACUCCAUCAUCACCAUCCCCUUGCAAGCUUCCGCAUGCGAUCUAAAAGUGGUAUGUAGAUGCAAACUCUCUCCCAUGACUCGUUGCUUAGAUGAACUCAUAGAUGGAUCUUGGUGAAACCGUAGGAAAAUUUUUAAUUUUCUGCAACGUUCCCCAACAGUGGUAUCAGAGCUAGGUCUAUGCGUAGUUCUCUAAUGCACGAGUAGAACACAAUUUUGUUGUGGGCAUGGAUCUUGUCAACUUACUUGCCUCUACUAGUCUUUUCUUGCUUCAACGGUAUUGUGGGAUGAAGCGGCCCGGACCAACCUUACACGUACACUUACGUGAGACCGGUUCCACCAAUUGACAUGCACUAGUUGCAUAAGGUGGCUGGCGGGUGUCUGUCUCUCCCACUUUAGUUGGAGCGGAUUCGAUGAAAAGGGCCCUUAUGAAGGGUAAAUAGAAGUUGACAAAAUCACAUUGUGGUUAUUCGUAGGUAAGAAAAUGUUCUUGCUAGAACCCAAUUGCAGCCACGUAAAAGAUGCAACAACAAUUAGAGGACGUGUAACUUGUUUUUGCAGCGAUUGAUCAUGUGAUGUGAUAUGGCCAGAAGUUGUGAUGAAUGAUGAAUUGUGAUGUAUGAGAUCAUGUUCUUGUAAUAGGAUUCACGACUUGCAUGUCGAUGAGUAUGACAACCGGCAGGAGCCAUAGGAGUUGUCUUUAUUUUUUGUAUGACCUGCGUGUCAUUGAAGAACGCCAUGUAAACUACUUUACUUUAUUGCUAAACGCGUUAGCCAUAGAAGUAGACGUAGUCGUUGGCAUGACAACUUCAUGAAGACACGAUGAUGGAGAUCAUGAUGAUGGAGAUCAUGGUGUCAAGCCGGUGACAAGAUGAUCAUGGAGCCCCGAAGAUGGAGAUCAAUGGAGCUAUAUGAUAUUGGCCAUAUCAUGUCACAACUAUAUAAUUGCAUGUGAUGUUUAUUAUGUUUAUGCAUCUUGUUUACUUAGGACGACGGUAGUAAAUAAGAUGAUCCCUUACACAAUUUUCAAGAAGUGUUCUCCCCUAACUGUGCACCGUUGCUACAGUUCGUCGCUUCUAAGCACCACGUGAUGAUCGGGUGUGAUGGAUUCUUACGUUCACAUACAACGGGUGUAAGACAGUUUUACACAGCGAAAACACUUAGGGUUAACUUGACGAGCCUAGCAUGUGCAGACAUGGCCUCGGAACACGGAGACCGAAAGGUCGAACACAAGUCGUAUGGAAGAUACGAUCAACAUGAAGAUGUUCACCAACGAUGACUAGUCCGUCUCACGUGAUGAUCGGACACGGGCUAGUCGACUCGGAUCGUGUAACACUUAGAUGACUAGAGGGAUGUCUAAUCUAAGUGGGAGUUCAUAAUUUGAUUAGAACUUUAUUAUCAUGAACUUAGUCUAAAACCUUUGCAAAUAUGUCUUGUAGAUCAAAUGGCCAACGCUCAUGUCAACAUGAACUUCAACGCGUUCCUAGAGAAAACCAAGCUGAAAGAUGAUGGCAGCAACUAUACGGACUGGGUCCGGAACCUGAGGAUCAUCCUCAUAGCUGCCAGGAAACAAUAUGUCCUAGAUGGACCACUAGGUGACGCUCCCAUCCCUGAGAACCAAGACAUUAUGAAUGCUUGGCAAACUCGUGCUGAUGAUUACUCCCUCGUUCAGUGCGGCAUGCUUUACAGCUUAGAACCAGGGCUCCAAAAGCGUUUUGAGCAUCACGGAGCAUAUGAGAUGUUCGAAGAGCUGAAACUAGUUUUCCAAGCUCAUGCCCGGGUCGAGAGAUAUGAUGUCUCCGACAAGUUCUACAGUUGUAAGAUGGAGGAAAACAGUUCUGUCAGUGAGCACAUCCUGAAGAUGUCUGGGUUGCACAACCGUAUGACCCAGCUGAACAUUAACCUCCCAGAUGAGGCGGUCAUUGACAGAAUCCUCCAGUCGCUCCCACCAAGCUACAAGAGCUUUGUGAUGAACUACAACAUGCAGGGGAUGGUAAAGAAUAUUCCUGAAGUGUUCUCGAUGCUGAAGUCAGCAGAGGCUGAAAUCAAGAAAGAACAUCAAGUGUUGAUGGUCAAUAAGACCACUAAGUUCAAGAAGGGCAAGGGCAAGAAGAACUUCAAGAAGGACGGCAAGGAUGUUGCCGCGCCCGGUAAGCCAGUUGCCGGGAAGAAGUCAAAGAAUGGACCCAAGCCUGAGACUGAGUGCUUUUAUUGCAAGGGGAAGGGUCACUGGAAGCGGAACUGCCCCAAAUACUUAGCGGAUAAGAAGGCCGGCAACACCAAAGGUAUAUUUGAUAUACAUGUAAUUGAUGUGUACCUUACCAGUACUCGUAGUAACUCCUGGGUAUUUGAUACCGGUGCCGUUGCUCAUAUUUGUAACUCACAGCAGGAGCUACGGAAUAAACGGAGACUGGCAAAGGACGAGGUGACGAUGCGCGUCGGGAAUGGUUCCAGAGUCGAUGUGAUCGCCGUCGGCACGCUGCCUCUACAUUUACCCACGGGAUUAGUUUUGAACCUUAAUAAUUGUUAUUUAGUGCCAAGUUUGAGCAUGAACAUUGUAUCUGGAUCUCGUUUAAUACGAGAUGGCUACUCAUUUAAGUCUGAGAAUAAUGGUUGUUUGAUUUAUAUGAGAGAUAUGUUUUAUGGUCAUGCUCCGAUGGUCAAUGGUUUAUUCUUAAUGAAUCUCGAGCGUAAUAUUACACAUGUUUAUAGUGUGAAUACCAAAAGAUGUAAAGUUGAUAACGAUAGUCCCACAUACUUGUGGCACUGCCGCCUUGGUCACAUUGGUGUCAAGCGCAUAAAGAAGCUCCAUGCUGAUGGACUUUUAGAGUCUCUUGAUUAUGAAUCGUUUGACACAUGCGAACCAUGCCUCAUGGGCAAAAUGACCAAGACUCCGUUCUCCGGAACAAUGGAGCGAGCAACCAACUUGUUGGAAAUCAUACAUACCGAUGUGUGCGGUCCAAUGAGAGUUGAGGCUCGCGGAGGAUAUCGUUAUGUUCUCACUCUCACUGAUGACUUGAGUAGAUAUGGGUAUGUCUACUUAAUGAAACACAAGUCUGAGACCUUUGAAAAGUUCAAGGAAUUUCAGAAUGAGGUGGAGAAUCAACGUGACCGAAAGAUAAAGUUCCUACGAUCAGAUCGUGGAGGAGAAUACUUAAGUCACGAAUUUGGUACACACUUAAGGAAAUGUGGAAUCGUUUCACAACUCACGCCGCCUGGAACACCUCAGCGAAACGGUGUGUCCGAACGUUGUAAUCGCACUCUAUUGGAUAUGGUGCGAUCUAUGAUGUCUCUUACCGAUUUACCGCUAUCAUUUUGGGGAUACGCUCUAGAGACAGCUACAUUCACUUUAAAUAGGGCACCGUCUAAAUCCGUUGAGACGACACCGUAUGAAUUAUGGUUUGGGAAGAAACCUAAGCUGUCGUUUCUAAAAGUUUGGGGAUGCGAUGCUUAUGUCAAGAAACUUCAACCUGAAAAGCUCGAACCCAAGUCGGAAAAAUGCGUAUUCAUAGGAUACCCUAAGGAAACUGUUGGGUAUACCUUCUACUUAAGAUCCGAAGGCAAGAUCUUUGUUGCCAAGAACGGAUGCUUUCUGGAAAAAGAGUUUCUCUCGAAAGAAGUAAGUGGGAGGAAAGUAGAACUCGAUGAAGUACUACCUCUCGAACGGGAAAGUGGUGCAGCGCAGGAAACCGUUCCUGUGAUGCCCACACCAACUGUAGAGGAAAACAAUAAUGAUGAUCAAGGUGCUUCGGAUCAAGUUGCUACUGAACUUCGUAGGUCCACAAGGACACGUUCCGCACCAGAGUGGUACGGCAACCCUGUCCUGGAAAUCAUGUUGUUAGACAACGGUGAACCUUCAAACUAUGAAGAAGCAAUGGCGGGCCCAGAUUCCAACAAAUGGCUUGAAGCCAUGAAAUCCGAGAUAGAAUCCAUGUAUGAAAACCAAGUAUGGACUUUGACAGACUUGCCCGAUGAUCAGCGAGCGAUAGAAAACAAAUGGAUUUUUAAGAAGAAGACGGACGCGGAUGGUAAUGUUACCAUCUAUAAAGCUCGACUUGUCACUAAGGGUUAUUGACAAGUUCAAGGGAUUGACUACGACGAGACAUUCUCUCCCGUAGCGAAGCUGAAGUCCGUCCGAAUCAUGUUAGCAAUUGCCGCAUACUAUGAUUAUGAGAUAUGGCAGAUGGACGUCAAAACGGCAUUCCUUAACGGGCAUCUUAAGGAAGAGCUGUAUAUGAUGCAGCCGGAAGGUUUUGUCGAUCCUAAGAACGCUAACAAGGUAUGCAAGCUCCAGCGAUCCAUUUAUGGGCUGGUGCAAGCAUCUCGGAGUUGGAACAUUCGCUUUGAUGAGAUGAUCAAAGCGUUUGGGUUUAUGCAGACUUAUGGAGAAGCCUGCGUUUACAAGAAAGUGAGUGGGAGCUCUGUAGCAUUUCUCAUAUUAUAUGUAGAUGCCAUACUCUUGAUGGGAAAUGAUAUAAAACUUCUGGACAGCAUUAAGGCCUACUUGAAUAAGUGUUUUUCAAUGAAGGACCUUGGAGAAGCUGCUUACAUAUUAGGCAUCAAGAUCUAUAGAGAUAGAUCGAGACGCCUCAUAGGUCUUUCACAAAGCACAUACCUUGAUAAGAUUUUGAAAAGGUUCAAAAUGGAUCAGUCCAAGAAGGGGUUCUUGCCUAUGUUACAAGGUGUGAGAUUGAGCUCAGCUCAGUCACCGACCACGGCAAAAGAUAAAGAAGAGAUGAGUGUCAUCCCCUAUGCUUCAGCCAUAGGAUCUAUUAUGUAUGCCAUGCUGUGUACCAGACCUGAUGUAAACCUUGCCGUAAGUUUGGUAGCAAGAUACCAAAGUAACCCCGGCAAGGAACACUGGACAGCGGUCAAGAAUAUCCUGAAGUACCUGAAAAGGACAAAGGACAUGUUUCUCGUUUAUGGAGGAGACGAAGAGCUCGUCAUAAAGGGUUACGUCGACACUAGCUUCGACUCAGAUCUGGAUGACUCUAAUUCACAAACCGGAUACGUGUAUAUGUUGAAUGGUGGAGCAGUAAGCUGGUGCAGCUGCAAGCAGAGCGUCGUGGCGGGAUCUACGUGUGAAGCGGAGUACAUGGCAGCCUCGGAGGCAGCGCAUGAAGCGAUUUGGGUAAAGGAGUUCAUCACCGACCUAGGAGUCAUACCCAAUGCGUCGGGGCCGAUCAAACUCUUCUGUGACAACACUGGAGCUAUUGCCCUUGCCAAGGAGCCCAGGUUUCACAAGAAGACCAGGCACAUCAAGCGUCGUUUCAACUCCAUCCGUGAAAAUGUUCAAGAUGGAGACAUAGAGAUUUGCAAAGUACACACGGAUCUGAAUGUCGCAGAUCCGUUGACUAAACCUCUCUCGCGAGCAAAACAUGAUCAACACCAGGACUCUAUGGGUGUUCGAUUCAUCACAAUGUAACUAGAUUGGUGACUCUAGUGCAAGUGGGAGACUGUUGGGAAUAUGCCCUAGAGGCAAUAAUAAAAGUAUUAUUAUAUUUCAUUGUUCAUGAUAAUUGUCUUUUGUUCAUGCUAUAACUGUAUUAUCCGGAAAUGGUAAUACACGUGUGAACACAUAGACCACAAUAUGUCCCUAGUGAGCCUCUAGUUGACUAGCUCGUUGUGAUCAACGGAUAGUCAUGGUUUCCUGACUAUGGACAUUGGAUGUCGUUGAUAACGGGAUCACAUCAUUAGGAGAAUGAUGUGAUGGACAAGACCCAAUCCUAAGCAUAGCAUAAAGAUCGUGUAGUUCGUUUGCUAGGGCUUUGCCAAUGUCAAGUAUCUCUUCCUUCGACCAUGAGAUCGUGUAACUCCCGGAUACCGUAGGAGUGGCUUGGGUGUAUCAAACGUCACAACGUAACUGGGUGACUAUAAAGGUGCAUUACAGGUAUCUCCGAAAGUAUCUGUUGGGUUGACACGGAUCGAGACUGGGAUUUGUCACUCCAUAUGACGGAGAGGUAUCUCUGGGCCCACUCGGUAAUGCAUCAUCAUAAUGAGCUCAAGGUGACCAAGGUGUUGGCCACGGGAUCAUGCAUUACGGCACGAGUAAAGUGACUUGCCGGUAAUGAGACUGAACAAGGUAUUGGGAUACCGACGAUCGAGUCUCGGGCAAGUAACGUAUCGAUUGACAAAGGGAAUUGUAUACAGGGUUUUGAUCGAAUCCUCGACAUCGUGGUUCAACCGAUGAAAUCAUCGAGGAGCAUGUGGGAGCCAACAUGGGUAUCCAGAUCCCGCUGUUGGUUAUUGACCGGAGAGUGGUCCCGGUCAUGUCUGCAUGUCUCCCGAACCCGUAGGGUCUACACACUUAAGGUUCGGUGACACUAGGGUUGUUAGGAAGACUAGUAUGUGACUACCGAAUGUUGUUCGAAGUCCCGGAUGAGAUCCCGGAUGUCACGAGAGUUCCGGAAUGGUCCGGAGGUGAAGUUUUAUAUAUGGGAAGUUGUCAUACGGACACCGGAAAGUUUCCGGGGGUUAUCGGUAUUGUACCGGGGCCACCGGAGGGGUUCCGGGGGUCCACCGGGAGGGGCCACCCCUCCCGGAGGGCCACAUGGGCCGCAAAGGGGAGGGAGCCAGCCCCUGGAGAGCUGGGCGUGCCCCCCACCUUGGGCCCAUGCACCUAGGGUUGGGGGGGAAACCCUGAGGGGGGCGCCCCCCUUGCUUGGGGGGCAAGCCUCCCCUCCCUGGCCGCCGCCCCCCCUCUAGAUCCCAUCUAGAGGGGUCGGCCCCCCUUGCCCCUUCCCCUAUAAAUAGAGGGGUGGGGGAGGGCUGUUGAACACAUCCAAAGGCGCAGCCCCUCCCCUCCCCAACACCUCUCCUCCUCCGUUAAGUGCUUGGCGAAGCCCUGUCGGAGUACUGCUGCACCAACACCACCACGCCGUCGUGCUGCCGUUGGAGCGAGCUUCCUCAACCUCUCCUUCCCCCUUGCUGGAUCAAGAAGGAGGAGACAUCUCCCGUCCCGUACGUGUGUUGAACGCGGAGGUGCUGUCCGUUCAGCACUUGGACAUCGGUGAUCUGAAUCACGUCGAGUACGACUCCAUCAUCACCAUCCCCUUGCAAGCUUCCGCACGCGAUCUACAAGUGGUAUGUAGAUGCAAACUCUCUCCCAUGACUCGUUGCUUAGAUGAACUCAUAGAUGGAUCUUGGUGAAACCGUAGGAAAAAUUUUAAUUUUCUGCAACGUUCCCCAACAGCAUCACACUUACUGACCGGCUCUACUUCGACCCACUUUGUGAACUUAUCAACCGCCACCAAGAGGUGAGUCUUUUUAUCUUUGGAUCUCUUAAAAGGUCCAACCAUGUCAAGCCCCCAGACUGCAAACGGCCAAGUAAUUGGAAUCAUCCUCAACUCUUGAGCCGGCACAUGAGCCCGUCUUGAGAACUUCUCACAACCGUCACAUUUACUAACCAGAUCCUCUGCGUCUGCGUGAGCCGUCAGCCAAUAAAACCCAUGACGAAAAGCUUUAUCCACGAGAGACUUUGACCCGGCGUGAUGACCACAAUCUCCUUCAUGAAUCUCACGGAGAAUUUCUUGGUCUUCUUCAGGAGAAAUGCAACGCUGAAAAGCCCCUGUAACACUACAAUGAUGCAACUCGCCAUUGAUAAUCAUCAUGGACUUAGACCGCCGGGUUAUCUGCCUGGCCAAGGUUUCAUCCUCAGGCAACUCGCCUCGUGUCAUAUAAGCCAGAUACGGCACCGUCCAAUCUGGGAUGAUAUGAAGAGCCGCCACCAACUGUGCCUCAGGGUCAGGAACAGCCAAAUCUUCCUCUGUAGGUAGCUUGAUAGAAGGGUUAUGCAAAACAUCCAAGAAAGUAUUAGGCGAUACCGGCUUACGCUGAGAUCCCAGCCGGCUUAAGGCAUCAGCCGCCUCGUUCUUUCUACGGUCAAUGUGCUCCACCUGAUAACCUUUGAAGUGCCCUGCAAUUGCAUCAACCUCCCGGUGAUAAGCCGCCAUGAGAGGAUCCUUUGAAUCCCACUUGCCUGACACUUGCUGAUACUCAGCUACAUUGUUAGUACUUAGCUACAUUGUUAGUACAAGGGAACAUCAACCGGAGUACAUAACAAAAUUUAUCACCCCGAGGGGAAGCCAAAAUAACUCCAGCCCCCGAGCCCUCCAAUUGUCUAGACCCGUCAAAAUGAAUUGUCCAAUAGGUAUUGUCCGGCUUUUCCUCAGGCAUCUGCAAUUCUGUCCAGUCAUUGAUGAAAUCCACCAGCGCUUGAGAUUUAAUAGCUGUGCGUGGCACAUAUUUUAAACCAUGAGGCCCAAGCUCAAUGGCCCAUUUGGCGACUCGCCCUGUGGCCUCUCUGUUAUGAAUAAUAUCCCCAAGGGGGCAGAACUAACCACAGUGAUGGGGUGGCCCAAGAAGUAUUGCUUAAGCUUCCGGCUGGCCAUGAACACUCCAUAGACGAGCUUCUGCCAGUGCGGAUAUCGCUGCUUGGACUCAAUCAGUACUUCACUGAUAUAGUAAACCGGCCGCUGAACCGGGUGCUCCUUGCCAGCCUCCUUGCGUUCCACCACAAUAGCCACACUGACAGCAUGGGUGUUAGCAGCUACAUACAGUAACAAGGGCUCCUUGUCAAUGGGAGCAGCAAGAACCGGCGGCUCAGCUAACUGUCUCUUCAGAUCUUCAAAGGCUGUAUUGGCGGCGCCACUCCAAGUAAAGCUAUUCAUCUUCUUCAUCAUCUGAUACAGCGGCAUAGCCUUUUCUCCUAACCGGCUUAUAAACCGGCUUAAAGUGGCGAUGCGACCCGCCAAACGCUGGACAUCAUUAAUGCACGCCACCUUGGCCCGGGAGGUGAUGGCUUUGAUCUUCUCUGGGUUAGCUUCAAUGCCUCUGUUAGAAACCAGAAAGCCCAAAAGCUUGCCUGCAGGCACACCAAAAACACAUUUAGCCGGGUUAAGCAUCAUCUUAUAAACCCGGAGAUUAUCAAAGGUUUCCUUGAGAUCAUCAAUCAAGGUAUCUUUCUCUCUGGAUUUAACCACUAUAUCAUCCACAUAAGCAUGAACAUUGCGUCCAAUCUGAUCAUGAAGACAAUUCUGUACGCAUCGCUGGUAAGUCGCCUAGGCACUCUUGAGCCCAAAAGGCAUUGAAACAUAGCAGAAGGCUCCAGACGGAGUAAUGAACGCCAUCUUCUCCUGGUCCUUAACAACCAUCUUGAUCUGAUGAUAACCAGAGUAAGCAUCCAGAAAGCUCAAACGCUCACAACCCGCCGUAGCAUCUAUGAUCUGAUCAAUACGAGGGAGAGCGAAAGGAUCAGCCGGACAAGCUUUGUUUAAGUCCGUGUAAUCCACACAAAUACGCCAAGUGCCGUUUUUCUUGAGAACAAGCACCGGGUUAGCCAGCCACUCUGGGUGAAACACCUCAAUGAUGAACCCAGCCGCCAAGAGCCGUGCCACUUCCUCACCAAUAGCUUUCCUUCUCUCCUCAUUAAACUGCCGAAGAAAUUGCUUGACCGGCUUAAACUUUGGAUCGAUAUUAAGAGUGUGCUCAGCGAGUUCUCUCGGUACACCCGACAUGUCAGAUGGCUUCCAUGCAAAAAUGUCCCGAUUCUCAUGAAUGAUCUCGAUGAGAGCGCCUUCCUAUUUGGGAUCCAAAUUAGCGCUAAUACUGAACUGCUUGGAUGAGUCGCCUGGGACAAAGUCGACAAGCUUAGUCUCCUCCGCCGACUGAAAUUUCAUGACCGGCUCAUGCUCUGUAGUUGGCUUCUUCAAGGAUGUCAUAUCCGCCGGGUCAACAUUGUCCUUAUAGAACUUUAACUCUUCCGUCGCGCAGGCCGACUCAGCAUAAGCCGCGUCACCCUCUUCACAUUCUAGAGACACCUUGAGGCUCCUGUGUACCGUAAUGGUUCCCUUAUAACCCGACAUUUUGAGCUGCAAGUACACAUAACACGGCCGUGCCAUGAACUUGGCAUAAGCCGGCCGCCCAAACAGAGCAUGAUAUGGGCUCUUGAUCUGAACCACUUCAAAUGUUAACUUCUCGGCUCUGAAUCAUAUUCAUCUCCAAAUGCUACCUCCAACUCUAUCUUGCCGACUGGAUACACCGACUUACCAGGUACAACUCCAUGGAAAACAGUGUUGGACUUCUUAAGGCUCUUAUCAGUCAACCCCAUGCGACGGAAGGUCUCAUAAUAAAGGAUAUUGAUACUGCUGCCUCCAUCCAUCAGCACCUUGGUGAACUUGUAUCCACCCACUUGAGGGGCUACGACCAGGGCUAAGUGACCCGGAUUGUCAACCCAGGGAGGGUGAUCCUCUCUACUCCAUAUGAUAGGCUGUUCAGACCACCUCAAAUAACGAGGGGUUGCCGGCUCAGCCGCAUUCACGGCCCUCUUAUGAAGCUUCUGGUCCCGUUUACACAAACUGGUGGUAAACACAUGAUAUUUCCCACUGUUCAGCUGCUUUGGAUUGCUCUGGUAUCCACCUUGUUGCUGCUGCUGACUGCCCUGACCAGCCUGUUGGUUAUAUCCACCCUGGUUUCCAUGGGAAUUUUGAAAAUUGGGAUUUGACCCGCUGCCCGGGCCAUGAAAGCCGCCACCACCUGAGCCGCCAGGGCCAUUGUUACCGUCAAACGUGUUGGAAUUCUUGAACGCCUUCAUAAUCGUGCAGUCCUUCCACAAAUGUGUAGCCGGCUUCUCCUUAGUAUCGUGUCUCGGACAAGGUUCAUUCAACAACUGCUCAAGUGUGGGUCCUGACCCGCCAGACCGAGGAGGUGGCCUUCCCUUGCGCCGCUGGUUAUGACCCUGUGUAUUGGUGUUCGCUAAAAAAUCCAAGCUACCGUCAGCCUUACGUUUGUUACCUCCUUGAUUUGUCGGGUUAUGCUGAGAGCCCUUGCUGUUGCCAUUCCUCUUUCCCUUCCCUGCCUUCUCAUCAUCAGACUCGGGAUCCUUGGUACUAUCAGAAUCGGCAUACUUGACCAGAGCCGCCAUCAGCGUGCCCAUAUCAUUGCAAUCACGUUUGAGCCGCCCCAGCUUUUGUUUCGAAGGUAAGAAACGACAAUUCUUCUCCAACAUUAAGAUUGCAGAGCCGGCAUCCAUCUUAUCAGAUGAAUGUAUUAUGGCCUUAACCCGGCGUACCCAAUGGGUUGUAGACUCACCCUCUUCCUGCUUACAGUUUGUCAGAUCCGUGAUUGACAUGGAUUGCUUGCACGUGUCUUUAAAGUUCUGGAUGAACUGGGCCUUUAACUCUGCCCAUGAAUUGAUUGAAUUAGGUGGCAGGCCCUUCAACCAGGUGCGGGCGGUUCCAUCCAACAUCAUGGUGAAGUACUUAGCCAUCGCUGCGUUAGAAACUUCCAACGGCUCCAUAGCCAUCUCGUAGCUCUCAAUCCACGCCCCAGAUUGUAAGUCGGCUGUGUAAUUCGGCACCUUCCUUGGUCCUUUAAAAUCUUUGGGCAACCGCUCAUUACGUAGAGUCGGCACUAGACACGGGACUCCUCCAGUCCGGGUGGCUAUACCUGCCUCAACAGAAGUCGCCGGGUGAACCGGAUAUGGCUGAUAAGUCGUCAACUGAGCCGCCCGUUCAGCCUCUUGCCGUAGUCCCUCUUGCUCUACCAAGUUAACAGCCUCAUGACGUGGCGGGUUACCGCCACCUGGCUGGUCACGGCGUCUAACAUUGCUUGAUAUGGCCGCUGAAUCCAUGUGCCUGCUGUAACUUGGGCUUCGGCUUGGACGAGGGGUCGAGUGGAUCCUGUCCCGGCUGUAUGAGUACGCCUCCUGCUGUACUAAAGCCGUCUGAAGAAGUUCCCUGACCCGGUGGGUUUCAACCGCAGUCGGAGAGUCGCCAUCAAUUGGUAGAGCUGCCAAUCGGGUUGCCGCUGCUAUCAUGUUUUCCAAUGGGUUGGAGUAAUGACCCGGGGGUGUUGGUACGUACUGAGGCGGCGCCAUGUUCACACGGGGAGGUCCCAUUACUGGCAGCUAAAACGGUGCUCUGUCCCCGGGUGUCGCAACAUGGUCCAUUCCUGUACGCGGAGGGAGCCACGACGGGUUGCCUGUCUGUGGAGUAAGCCACGGCGGGUUGCUGGGCCCUGCUCCUGGCGUGUUAAAAAGGUUCUGAGGGUCAUAAACCGGGGGAAGUCGAGACUGGGUCUUCUAAUACCUUCUCCUCAUGACCUCAUUACCCGUGUUCUGGUCUUGUGUAAGCCGGAAAGCGUGCGCUUGGAUCUGCUGAGCCUGAACAUCCAGAGCCGCCCGCUCAGCGGUUAUCCUGACAUCUUCUGCUGCCAGGUCUUCUUUAGCUUGCGCCAUAUCCAGCUUCAACUGUGCCACUUCCGCAUCAUCACUAGCUUGAUCCGCCGGGCUGACGUUAGAGUAGAUGGCCGCCUCACCAUCAGAGGCAGACCCUUCAGAGAGUCCUCCGUGGAUGCAUCCCGCGAAGGCACGCUUCACAGCCGGCGGAGCCCGGGCGGGUCUCGCACGCUGAGCCGUCUCGAUGAGGUCGGUGCAGAUGUCCGGCUCAGGGCCCAGCUCGCCGAUCUUGCCGAUGAAGACGUGGAUUCCGCCGAAGGGGACCCGGUACCCGUACUCAAUUGAGCCGGCCUUGGGGCCCCAGCCUGCGUCGUCGAUGUAGAGCUUGCCGUGACGACUCUUGGUCAUCUAGCCCAUAGCGUAUCCCUUGAGCCCUUCGAAGCUGCCCUUCAAGAACUCAAAUCCAUCGUGCGCUGGCCCCACGGUGGGCGCCAACUGUCGUGGAAUUGUCACGUCAGAUGUCCUAGUGCAAGGACUUAGUCAUGGAGCCAUCGCAACUAGGAAGCUUGAAGGGGUUAAUCAGGACAAGAGACACGAGAGAUUUAUACUAGUUCGGCCCCUUACGAUGAAGGUAAAAGCCUACGUCUAGUUGUGAUUGGGAUUAUGUAUGUCUCGAUGACCAGGAAGCAGAAUCGCUUGACCUAGCUCUCAAGUUGUUGUUUCGUACCCUAAACCACCGCCGGGUCGUCCCUUUAUAUACUGAGGUUGACACCCAGCAGCUCUACAGAGUCCCGGCCGGCUUAUAGAUUGUAUCCGGCUCGGUCUCUUAAUCUUUCUUGACUUACAACACAAGUUACAUGAACAAGGCGGUUUAACACUACGGGCCUUAAGUCUCCUCUGGGCCUUGGGGCCUUUACUAAGCCGCCAUCUUCAACCUUGAGCUUCUAUCUUCAGGAAUGCUUGUAGUUAUAACCCGACUCCUUAUGGCGGGUCAUACCUAGUAGUUUUAUUCCGUAAGGGGCUGAUUUGGAUUCAUAUGUUUCAUGCUAUGGUUAGAUUUAUCCUAAUUCUUCUUUCGUAGUUGCGGAUGCUUGCAAGAGGGGGUAAUCAUAACUGGGAGGCUUGUUCAAGUAAGAACAACAUCAGAGUAACGAACGUCAAUCAAACAAAAAUGAUGAAAGUGACUAGAUGAAAUUCCCGUGUGUCCUCAAGAACACUUUUCUUAUUAUAAGAGACUGUUUCAGCCUGUCCUUUGCUACAAAAAGGAUUGGCUACCUUUCUGCACCUUUGUUACCGUUACUACUUAUUGCUCGUCUCAAAUUACAUUGCUAUCAAACUAUCUGUUACCGACAAUUUCAGUGCUUGCAGAAAAUACCUUGCUGAAAACUGCUUGUCAUUUCCUUCUGCUCCUCGUUGGGUUCGACACUCUUACUUAUCGAAAGGACUAUGAUUGAUCCCCUAUACUUGUGGUCAUCAUUCUCCAAUGUAUCUAUAAUUUUUUUAUUCCAUGUUAUUAUAUUAUCAAUCGUGGAUAUUUUAUAUGACUUUUUAUGCUAUUUUAUAUCAUUUUUUCGGAUUAACCUGUUAACCUAGUGCCUAGUGCCAGUUGUUGUUUUCUGCUUGUUUUGGUUUUUCAGAAAAUCUGUACCAAACGAAGCCUAAACGCUACGGAACUUUUUAACGAUUUUUUUCUGAACAAGAGAGACCCUAGAAGCUUCGGGAGGAGACCAGACGACAAUCAAGGAGAUGGCGAGGCAACAGGGCGCACCCUAGAGGGGGUGCCCUGUUACCUUGUGGGCCCAUGUGUCUCCGUCUGACGUAAUUUCACCUUUAUAAAUUCUCUAAUAUUGGGAAACCAACAGAGAGCCACUUGAAACCCUUUUUCCGCCACCGCAAGUUUUUUUUCUUUUGCGAUCCCAUCUGGAGGCCUUUUUUGGUACUCUGCCGGAAGGGGAAUCGAUCAUGGAGGGCCUCUAAAUCAUCCUUGCUACCUUCCGAUGAUGCGUGAGUAGUUCACCACAGACCUACGGGUCCAUAGCUAGUAGCUAGAUGGCUUCUUCUUUCUCUUUGAUCUUCAAUACCAUGUUCUCCUCGAUGUUCUUGGAGUUCUAUCCGAUGUAAUCUUAUUUUGCGGUGUGUUUGUUAGGAUCCGAUAAAUUGUGAGUUUAUGAUCUGAAUAUUCAUGAGAAGUAAUUGAGUCUUCUCUAAAUUUUAUUAUGCAUGAUUGUUAUAGCUUUGUACUUUUCUUCGAUCUAUCCGCUUGGUUUGGCCAACUAGAUUGAUUUAUCUUCAAUGGGAGAUAUGCUUUGUGAUGGGUUCAAUCUUGCGGUGCUCUAUAUCCCAGUGACACAAGGGGACAAGACACGUAUUUGUAUUGCUGCCAUUAAAAGGUAAAAUGAUAGGGUUUAUUCAUAGUGAUUGGGUUUACUUUGUCUACAUCAUGUCAUCUUGCUUAAGGCGUUACUUCGUUUUUCAUGAACUUAAUACCAUAGAUGCAUACUGGAUAGCGGCCGACUGAUGGAGUAAUAGUAGUAGAUGCAGAUAGGAGUCGGUAUAUUUGUCUCGGACGUGAUGCCUAUAUAUAUGAUCAUUGCCUUGAAUAUUAUCAUAACUAUGCGCUUUUCUAUCAAUUGCCCAACAGUAAUUUGUUCACCCACCGUAUGCUAUGUGUUCGAGAGAGAGAAGUCUCUAGUGAAAACUAUGGCCCCCCAGGUCUACUUUAAUCAUAUUACUAAAAUCUAAAUUCCUUUGCUGCUAUUUUAUUUUAUUUUAUUUUGUUUUGUUUUGCAAUUUAUCCAUCUACCUAUACAAGAUUUGAUCUUUGCAAGUAACGAGUCCAAGGGGAUUGACAACCCUCUUGCCCGCGUUGGGUGCAAGUAUUUGCUUUUGUGUGCGUAUGUGUUGUUCAUGAGGCUUUGCGUGAUUCUCCUAUUGGUUCGAUAAACCUUGGUUCUCAUCGAGGGAAAUACUUAUCUCUACUGUACUACAUCAUUUCUCCUCUUCGGAAAAAACCACGCAGCUCACAAGUAGCACAACGCUCAUCUCCCCAACAGCUGGCAUCUCAGCCCAGAUCGGGUGCCCGUGCCGCCUAUCCCGACGAGCGGCCGCGCCCGUCUGCUGGAGAUCGACUACCGGCGUGCCCGCCAGCCACCAGACCUCCUGAACAGCCAGUGGUACACCGUCGAUUCUCUCGUGUGGGACACCUGGUUCCGGGACGAGCACGACCUGCAUCGGCAGACGUUUUUCGCCGAUCGUGAUCCAAGCCCGCCAUGGGCGCGCUCUGCUAGCCGUGUGCGUGCUCUCAGUUCGCCCAGGUCACGCGGUCGUGCGCGGGUGCAUGCACAGUCCCACGCCCUCCCCCUCGUCAUCCUUGCCACCAGCUCCCACCAUGACCGCCGAAGAGGAGGAGGGCUGGUGAGGAGGGUGCUCGAGGAGUCCGAGAGGGAGUACGACCGCGCCCAGCAGGACUGCCUCGACAUGAUGAUGGCACUUUCGGGUGCCGAUGAUGUGGCCAUACCCGAGCUGGAGGUCAAAGAGGAGCCAGUUUCGGAUCCACCCGCUGCAACCUGGAACCCGGAGUUGGUGGGGGAGUCCUGGACGUGGACAUCCACGGUGCCAUGCAACCCACCUUAACCGCCGGCCUCGUGGGUGGGCACAUAGCUGUGNNNNNNNNNNNNNNNNNNNNNNNNNNNNNNNNNNNNNNNNNNNNNNNNNNNNNNNNNNNNNNNNNNNNNNNNNNNNNNNNNNNNNNNNNNNNNNNNNNNNNNNNNNNNNNNNNNNNNNNNNNNNNNNNNNNNNNNNNNNNNNNNNNNNNNNNNNNNNNNNNNNNNNNNNNNNNNNNNNNNNNNNNNNNNNNNNNNNNNNNNNNNNNNNNNNACCACAGCAGGCGCCGCCCGCGCCUCUUUGGCAACCACCUGAGGCGUUGCCUGCCCUUCUUUGGCAGCCACCAAUGAGGCCGCCAACCCACCUUUGGCAGCCACGCCGUACAUUGACCUCACCAUGGAUGAUGAUGACGAGGACAACGACGACUGAAGACGACCAGCAAGGCGGUGAUGGCCCGAUCUAGGGUUUCUAGUUUUUACAUUUUUUUUAAUUCCAAGUUUAAUUUGAAUGUUCGGGCGUGACUUUUGUGGACUUUCUAAGUUAAUGUAAUAUGUAUCGUUUUUAAUUAUUUGUAAUGUUUUUUUAAUUUAAGUUCAUAAUGCGGACAAAUAUUUGAAAUGCGGCGGUCGGUUGAGCGCAUAGACAGAUGAGUGACCGCAAACGGACGGUCGUGUCCGUUUUACCGACGCAAAUGGACAGAAAUCAAACAUAAUCCAUAUCAUUUGCGGUCGUGCGUUGAAAUUGGCCUUAUAGCUACUUUGUGUUUGUGCUUUGCCUCAUAAGCCUUUCGUAUUAUAUGUUGCUGCGUUUUAGGGAGGCUGUCAUAUAGAGACUCUGCUAGAGCUGUUUUAAACCAGUUUAAGUUCACGUUUUUCACAUCCAAAUUUGGCCCUUUCUCCGUAAAAUUCGAUUCUGAAAUUGCAAAUUGUGGUGGAUUAGCCGGCCGGAGGAAGCAGGUGAAAGGCCGAGAUAUUUCUUUCCCGUAGUCGUCGCCUCACGCUGCCCCUGAGUAGCUCCCGUAGCUCGCCGCCCCGUGCGCCAUGAGUUGCGCGGCGGUGUGUGCUCCCACCUCCGGUCUCGGCCGCCACCACGGCUUCCUCUCCUCCCCCUCGACUGUAUGCAGGCGACGAGGGAGAGCUUCCUACACUAUCCGGGCCUGUGCCAACUCCGGCGACGCGGAUGACAGCGGCGGAGGUCUCCUACCUCGGAUGGUGCUGCACGACUCCCUCGAUGCCGCGGGGGUCGUCACUGAUCACGCUAGGGCGGCGAGGGACGGGUUCGCGGUGCAGAUCGGGAGGCUCACGAGGCUCAACGCUGAGACCAGCAUCGCCAUCAGCCGCGGCGCCGAUCUCGCGCGGGCCGCGCUCUGUAUCGCGGCUGAGGACGACUCGCUCGUCUCCCACUCCUCUGUGCCGCUCCCCGUCGACGCCUUCAUUGCUCGCCUUGACGACCUUUCCACCGGGUUCCUCGCCGCGGGAUUCCUCCCGCCCUCCGGCGCGCCGCCCGAGGUCUUCUUCGACCACCUCGACCGCUACCUCUACGUCCACAAGGUAAUUUGACAGUCAAAUUGAUGCGAUCAUGUUACAUUUUGGAUAAAUCGGCAUAAAUGCCACGGGCACAUUUUGGUAUCGAUAUGAGACUCCGAAUAUGCAAUUUCAAGCCCUUCAUUAAAUUAUGCGGAAUCGUGUUCCAUCUAUCAGUUGUACCAUCAAUUGAUGUGCUAGCAUGUUACUACGUUGCAAUUUUUCAUUCAGGGCUUUCGAAGAACAAACGUAGCAUCAGAUGCUCGGGCUAUGUAUCUUCACUCGGUAUGAUUGACCCUGUCUUCUCCGCUUUGUAUGUAAUCUCACGUGAUUGCCAUGUGUGUGGUCUAUCCAUUCUAAUGUUGUUUUUGUUGUCUACAAUUGGCAGACUUUGACAUGCCGAUCAGGAUCAGCUCUAAUGCUUUCGUUGAUAUAUUCGGAGAUGCUAAAGACACUACGGUUAUAUGGCUUACUAGACUUCGAUGAGGAGAUCUACUUUCCACAUGAUCUCAAUGGCCGCCCUAGGGGCUAUGACAAACGAAGAAGCAAGUUUUGUGAUGAACCAAAUAUUAUGACAGCGAAGUCACUUUUGGUUGAGGUGAGCUUAUUUUGAUCUUCAUUCCAGAUGUUCCAUUUUCAAACGUCAUUUAGCUGUGGAAGUAUCAGGCAAGAAUAACUUUGAGCAUUUGCUAAAUACUCAUUUAAUGUUUUUGGGGAAGUAUCCUGCAAUUGAGAAAUCUUAGCUCGCUCUGGUUUGCUGAAUAGAGAUAUUUUCAUCAGCUUCUUCACUAGCAGCAAAAUGGCUGCCAUAUUGGUUUUGGGUUUCAGAACGAGACUUGAGUUCAAUCCCUUCUUGGCAAAUUUUAUAUGCAAAUACUGUCAAAGGUGUUUCAUAACUUUAGACAAUUCAUUCUCACGACAUUCUGGACUAGCCUAAACUUAUUAUUUGGUUCUGUUCCAUACUUAUCCGUAUACAAGUCUUCUGUUUAGAAAAUAAACUAGAGUUUGGCAGGCCUUUUCAGCAUUCACCACUUAUUGCUUUCUUAGCUUCAUACACAUUAUACAAUACAACUGUAAGUAAUGUAUUUUCCUUAGGGUCUUUUGUUUCACCCGCUCAUGUUUGAGACCCAACAGUUAAGUUACAUUUGCAAAGUUAUUACGUGUCCCCCAAACCAGGUAACAUUACGUGGUUUUCACCUGAUGAUUCUGGACGUUACAUCCGAUUCGUAUACUCAGAACCAGAAAUUUAGGUGUCAACUCUUAAUUGGGUAUUUUUCUGAAUAAUAUCUUAACUGGGCUUUUACCUGGAACUGUAUCCCAACCCUGAAUAGCUUGCUCUGGGCGUUACAUGGUUGCUUAUCUCUUAAGAUAGUUUGCUUCUUCUCCUAAUGUUAGCUAUCAUGCUUUGGUUCUCUUCUUUUAAUGGUGAUUUUAUAAGGCUCCAACAGUUGACAUCUGUUGAAUGCAAUGACAUUUGGGCAUACUUUGAUUAAUCCGUUUUCCAGAUUUUACAAACUCUGAAGGGUAUGUUUUGGCCGUUCCAGUCUAAUCAGUCAAGUAGCUUAUUUUUGAAUGCUGUUGCUGCAAACCACCAUGGCCCUGGUAAUGUAGGCGGCAGUCAGGCAAGGUCACAUGGCAAUAUAAGGUUUGUUUUGUGUAUAACCUGGUCAGCAUACAAUUGCUAUUGUCAUCAUACAUGAUACGAAUUACGACACUGGAGUGACGUGAUUUUAUUUUUAUAGUGCCAUAGAGAUGGCUGCUGCUAAAUCUGCUCAACAUAGGUUGAUGCGUGGAGUAUGGACUAAUGUGCGCUUUGGUGAUAUGCGUCGUGCUUUGGCAGGUACAACACUUUUCCGUUUAGUUUCUUACUAAUUUGGAGGUGCAUACAAGGACGACGUGGUGGAACUCGUGGAUCUUCCGUUAAAAUGAUUAGAAUAAGUCACCUCAUUGAUAAUUCACAAUAGUGCCUUUGAUUUUUCUGUUUCUUAUUCACGAUAUAUCCAAACUAUCCACACCUGUACAUUCCUUGUUCCCCAUCAAGAAUUUUGGAAACAGAUAGGCCAUUGCCUUUCUUUUCUCUAAGUCCCUGUUUCUCCAAAUCUGCAUUUUCUAGCAGUCACUGACCAGGUUCAUUCAUACCAUGCAUCUUGAUGGCAGCUUGCGAGAGAUUGAUCCUACUGAAUCACAAUCCCUGUGAGCUUAGGGACUAUGCUGCCCUUCUGUACCACUGUGGCUACUACAAAGAUUGCCUGCAGUACUUAACGUCGUACCAAAAUGCCAUGGUAUUUCAUCUUCAAAUCUUGCAUUCAGCCAUUGUAAAUACUACGCCGCCUGUAAAUGCCACUCUACAUCUAUUCCUUACAGGUUGGGCAGCCCCGGACCAAUCCACUGGAGAUGUUGGAGGACGACGCAGUGAACACUCUCACGGCACGAGUAAACCUAAUUUUAGCAGAGGAUGGCUGGGACAGCCACAGACCUGCUGCAAGUUACUGGACCAAAAAUUCUGAGCCAUGGUAGACACUCUUGACCGAUCAGUGUAUAUAAUUCACUAACUGAGACAUGGAUGUGCAACAACUUGUACAUAUAAUUGUACCCUGGACGUUUUCAAGCAUUUAUGAAAUGGGACUAAAUUCUGGUGCCGUUCUCACUUUGCAUCUUUCUCAACUUGUGCAGUCAAAAACAAUCACGACAAAUGUAAACUCAUAUUGAUUUUUAGUCUUCAGUUAUGUUCACCGAAGAACUUGUACGAGAUAUUAACCAUUGAUGUAAACCUCGAAAAGUUUACCACGGAUCACAGUAUCGCAGUAGCAUAAGAUUCAAGGAUUACUAGUAGUAGUAGAUAUAAUCCAAAUACAGUCAUAGGGAUCGAAGAAAGCCAAACAAUAUUGUCAUUACACAGGAUAACCAAACUAAUUAUGAUAAUAAGUACUAGCAUAUCACGAAUGACUAGUAGCACCGGAUGAACUCUAAUAGAGAAGGAAUUGAUUAAACCUCAAUAAUAAAACCUGACUAACUACUAGAAGAGCAAACUGAUCACUGAAGCAGCAAGACGAGACCGACACAAAGAGCGGCCAUCGCUGCAGCGAGAGCGACGCCGCCGGCAGCAACCGCAGCGGCACCAGAGGACGUGCCCGGUGAAGACCCACCGUGCCCGCCGCCAGACCCAGAGCCGUCUCCGCCUUGGCCUGGCGCAUAGGCGGCCGGAGCAGGCGCGGGCGCAGGCUCGGCCGGGUGCACCAUGACGCGCACGAUGAGCCUCUGGCCCUCCUCGCAAUGCCCCGGCUCACCGCUGAUGAAGCAGAAGAAGCCCGGCCUAUCGAGACGCACCGUGGUGCUGCCGUCGGCGAACCUUGACAGGGGGUCCGUGGCGUUGCAGGCGUCGAACUCCUCGCGGGAGACGAGGAGCACCGAGUCGUUCUCGUACUUGAAGUCUGGAAUCAAAAGAAAAGAUCAGGUUGCAGGACACACGAUCAUGUGAUGAAUCAUACACAACACAAGUACGCACGCCGUUGGUGACAUGGUAAGGGAGAUGGAAGAAUGAUGAGAUCGCUGGAUGACUCACAGAGCUCGUCGCCGACGUGGAAGCGGUUGUUCAUGGCCCACCAGCCAUAGCUGGUGUUGGCAUCCGGGACGCGCCACCCGCGCGGGCCACCGACGUGGAACACCAGCCCCUGCGCCGGCGUCGUGAGCGCAGGGAUGGCGACGAAUGCAAGGACGAAGGCCAGCGCGGGGAGGAGGAGCACAGGCUUGGAGGAGGAACCGAUCAUCAGCGCCGCCAUGGCCGGAUCGACGACCUCGGAUUCAGCGGCCCGGCGGCGGUGCAGCAGGACGCGGAGGAAGGCGGAAGGGACGCCCGCGGCCCUAGGCUGCUGCUGCUCUCUCUCUCUCUCUCUCUCGUUGCUCCGGCCUGGAAUGCAAUGGCGUGCGCGGCUGUGUAUGUGAAGCGCAGGCGCGCGCUCCAGGCGUGUGGUUUUAUAGGGGAAGGCCAAGGGAGGCCGGGUAACUUCCCUUUGAUGGAGGUUUGACCACGCUUUGAAUUCCGCUCGCUGCUUCGUGGGGGAGGUGGGCGGGCGUGCCACGGACGUGCUUAAUGAAGGAGGGGGACGUGGGAUGUGAAGGUGACGAGGCGGUUUCAUUUCCGCUGAUUACCUUUGAUAGAGCCGCGCGCGCUCUUGACCCGAUUUGAAGACGGGGUGUAUGUUCAAAUGGUUCGGUUGGCUAUCCAUUUUUAGGAUUUUCCCCCGCUUUGUAUACUACAAAAAACAACAACAUCAGACUACCCACAAUGGGAGUAACAAAAGUAGUAACAUCACACAUAUCUAGGUUAAAUAGAUGAUGUGGCAUGCAAUAAAUGAAGAAAGAGAUGAAAAUGGUAACAUAGCUAGUUACUACUAGUAUGAGUAACAUCACACAUAUCAAGGCAAGGUGUAUCUAUAGCCUAAUAAAUGAAGUGCUCCAUGUUACCACACAUAUGUUACUCCCCACUAUAGAGGUAGUAACAUAGAGUAGUAACAUGGGCAUGUUACUAGUCUAUGUUACUACCCAUUGUGGGUGCUGGAGUGAAAGCAGCACAUGCACACCCAAAAAAAAA
rnacentral:lncRNA from 1 species